AUUGAACGCUGGCGGCAUGCCUUACACAUGCAAGUCGAACGGCAGCACGGGAGCAAUCCUGGUGGCGAGUGGCGAACGGGUGAGUAAAGUAUCGGAACGUGCCCAGUCGUGGGGGAUAACGUAGCGAAAGUUACGCUAAUACCGCAUACGAUCUAUGGAUGAAAGCGGGGGAUCGCAAGACCUCGCGCGAUUGGAGCGGCCGAUAUCAGAUUAGGUAGUUGGGGGGGUAAAGGCUCACCAAGCCGACGAUCUGUAGCUGGUCUGAGAGGACGACCAGCCCCACUGGGACUGAGACACGGCCCAGACUCCUACGGGAGGCAGCAGUGGGGAAUUUUGGACAAUGGGCGAAAGCCUGAUUCAGCCAUGCCGCGUGCAGGAUGAAGGCCUUCGGGUUGUAAACUGCUUUUGUACGGAACGAAAAGGUUUGGCCUAAUAAGCUGAGCUCAUGACGGUACCGUAAGAAUAAGCACCGGCUAACUACGUGCCAGCAGCCGCCGUAA
rnacentral:rRNA from 1 species